AAUAUUGCGCAAUGGGGGCAACCCUGACGCAGCAACGCCGCGUGAAGGAAGAAGGCCUUCGGGUUGUAAACUUCUUUGAUCGGGGACGAAACUGACGGUACCCGAGGAACAAGCCACGGCUAACUACGUGCCAGCAGCCGCGGUAAUACGUAGGUGGCAAGCGUUGUCCGGAAUUACUGGGCGUAAAGUGCGUGUAGGCGGGGCGGCAAGUCAGGUGUGAAAUCCCGGGGCUUAACUCCGGAGCUGCAUCUGAAACUGCUGUUCUUGAGUGCUGGAGAGGAAAGUGGAAUUCCCAGUGUAGCGGUGAAAUGCGUAGAGAUUGGGAGGAACACCAGUGGCGAAGGCGGCUUUCUGGACAGUAACUGACGCUGAGGCGCGAAAGCGUGGGGAGCAAACAGG
rnacentral:rRNA from 1 species